UACUAGGAGGCGACAGUAGUUAGCGAAUUACUGGGCGUAAAGCGUGCGCAGGCGGUCCGUUAAGACAGAUGUGAAAUCCCCGGGCUUAACCUGGGAACUGCAUUUGUGACUGGCGGACUCGAGUAUGGCAGAGGGGGGUAGAAUUCCACGUGUAGCAGUGAAAUGCGUAGAGAUGUGGAGGAAUACCGAUGGCGAAGGCAGCCCCUGGGCCAAUACUGACGCUCAUGCACGAAAGCGUGGGGAGCAAACAGG
rnacentral:rRNA from 1 species